CCUACGGGUGGCAGCAGUGGGGAAUAUUGGACAAUGGGGGGAACCCUGAUCCAGCCAUGCCGCGUGUGUGAAGAAGGCCCUCGGGUUGUAAAGCACUUUCAGUGAGGAAGAACGCCUGGUGGUUAAUACCCAUCAGGAAAGACAUCACUCACAGAAGAAGCACCGGCUAACUCCGUGCCAGCAGCCGCGGUAAUACCGAGGGUGCGAGCGUUAAUCGGAAUUACUGGGCGUAAAGCGCGCGUAGGUGGCUUGAUAAGCCGGUUGUGAAAGCCCCGGGCUCAACCUGGGAACGGCAUCCGGAACUGUCAAGCUAGAGUGCAGGAGAGGAAGGUAGAAUUCCCGGUGUAGCGGUGAAAUGCGUAGAGAUCGGGAGGAAUACCAGUGGCGAAGGCGGCCUUCUGGACUGACACUGACACUGAGGUGCGAAAGCGUGGGUAGCAAACAGGAUUAGAUACCCUAGUAGUC
rnacentral:rRNA from 1 species